ACACACACACACACACUAGACAAACACACACUGGACACACACACACACUGGACUCCCACACACACACACACACACACACUGGACUCACACACACACACGACAAACACACACACACACACUGGACAAACAGGACACACACACACUGGACACACACACACACAAGACACACACACACACACACUGAAAACAAACACACACACACUGGACUCACACACACACACGACAAACACACACACACACACUGGACAAACAGGACACACACACACACUGGACACACACACACAAGACACACACACACACACACUGAAAACACACACACACACACUGGACACACACACACAGGACACACACACACACACACUGAAAACACACACGCACUCACUGGACAAACACACACAGGACACACACACACACACACAAUUGGACACACACACACACACACACUGGACAAACACACACACACACACACUGGACAAACACACACACACACUGGACAAACACACACACACUGGACACACACACACACUGGACAAACACACACACAUACACACACACACACUGGACAAACACACACACUGGACAAACACACACACACACUGGACAAACACACACACACACACACUGGACAAACACACACACACACGACAAACACACAACACACACACACACUGGACAAACACACACACACACACACACACACACACACACACACACACACACACACCACACUGGACAAACACACACACACACACUGGACAAACACACACACACACACACACACACUCACACUGGACACACACACACUGGAUACAAACACACACACACACACACACACACACACACACACACACACACACACACUGGACAAACACACACACACACACACUGGACAAACACACACACACACACACACACACACACACUGGACAAACACACAAACACACACUGGACAAACACACACAGGACACACACACACACACACACUGGACAAACACACACACACACACACUGGACAAACACACACACACACACACUGGACAAACACACACACACACACACUGGACAAACACACACACACACUGGACAAACACACACACACACACACUGGACAAACACACACACACACACACACUGGACAAACACACACACACACACACACAGGACAAACACACACACACACACACACAGGACAAACACACACACACACUGGACAAACACACACACACACACACACACUGGACAAACACACACACACACACACUGGACAAACACACACACACACUGGACAAACACACACACACACACACACACUGGACAAACACACACACACACACACACACACACACACUGGACAACACACACUGGAUACAAACACACACACACACACACACUGGACAAACACACACACACACACACACAAACACACACACACACACUAGACAAACACACACUGGACACACACACACACUGGACACACACACACACUGGACUCACACACACACACACACACACUGGACAAACACACACACACACUGGACACACACACACACUGGACAAACACACACACACACACACACACACACUGGACAAACACACACAACACACACACUGGACAAACACACACACACUGGACAAACACACACACACUGGACAAACACACACACACACACUGGACAAACACACACACACACACACACUGGACAAACACACACACACACACACACACACACACGACAAACACACACACACACACACACUGGACAAACACACACACACACACACACACACACACACACUGGACAAACACACACACACACACACCACACACACUGGACACACACACACUGGAUACAAACACACACACACACACACACACUGGACAAACACACACACACACACUGGACAAAACACACACACACACACACACACACACACACACACUGGACAAACACACAAACACACACUGGACAAACACACACACACACUCACUGGACACACACACACAGGACACACACACACACACACACUGGACAAACACACACACACACACACUGGACAAACACACACACACACACUGGACAAACACACACACACACUGGACAAACACACACACACACACACUGGACAAACACACACACACACACACACACACACACACACACAGGACAAACACACACACACACACUGGACAAACACACACACACACUGGACAAACACACACACACACACACACACACACUGGACAAACACACACACACACACACACACACACUGGACAAACACACACUGGAUACAAACACACACACACACACACACACUGGACAAACACACACACACACACGACAAACACACACAAACACACACUGGACAAAGACGCGCGCACACACACACACACACACACUGAACACACACACACACACUAGACAAACACACACUGGACACACACACACACUGGACACACACACACACUGGACUCACACACACACACACUGGACAAACACACACACACACUGGACAAACACACACUGUACAAACACACACUGGACACACACACACUCACUGGACAAACACACACACACACUGGACAAACAGGACACACACACACACACACACACACUCACUGGACAAACACACACACACACUGGACAAACACACACACACACACUGGACUCACACACACACACUCACUGGACACACUCUCACACACACACAUGCACGUCUUCCUAUAAUUGUGAGGACCUUGACCCAGGACCUCUUACAAUAACACCGUUAAAAUACCAAUGUGAUAAUUUCUUGUCUUUUAUGUUGAAUAACUAA
ensembl:lncRNA